rnacentral:rRNA from 1 species
GAGUUUGAUGAUGGCUCUGAAUGAACGCUAUCCAAAUGCUUGACACAUGCUAAUCGAACGCCAAUUGCGUUUUUUACAUAGAUUGGAGUGGUGUACAGGUGAGUAUAAUAUGGAUCUUACCUUGAAGUAAGGGAAUAUAAAUCAAAUUGAUUUUAUUUUUAAAAUCGACUGAGCAAGAUCCCUUAUAAAUUAUAAAGAAAGUCAAUUUUCGCUUUUAGAAGUCUAUAUUUCGAGUAGCAUUAGCUAAAGGAUAAAUAUUUAGUUAGCAUAAUAUUCGUAGCCAAGACUGGGAAGUCAAUUGGUCACAGUGUGGCAUGAAAAAGCCCACGGUUAACUACAGCAGUGAGGAAUUUUGGUCAAUAGCCUAACGGCUGAACCAGCAACUUGGAGGAAUGUACAGGGAAAGCUGGUAAAAGGCAAUGUACCUGGUAGUAUUAGAAAUUAAUAUGAGAUUAACUAAGUUAAUUAAAAUUCAAAGUAGAUAUUUGAUUAUGACAGUGUUUGCUUUAUGUCUUGACCAAAUCACGUGCCAGCAGUCGCGGUAAUACGUGGAAGAUUAGUGUUAUUCAUAUUUAACAGGUUUAAAGGGUACCUAGACGGUUAAUUAAGCUUUAAAAAGUACUAAUUAACUAGAGUUUAAUGUAAGAAUGAUUGAGUACGGUGAGUGAAGAGAUUAAAUUCUGUCAUACCACUUAGGAACUGGUAAAGGCAAAGGCAACUUUCUAUGUAUAAACUGACGUUAAGGGACGAAGGCUCAUAUCAAAAAGAAGGAUUAGAUACCCUAGUAUUGUGAGCAGACAAUGAUGAGUGUCAUAUAUAAGAAUUUAUUUUUAUGUAUAAAUGAAAGUGUAAGCACUCCACCUUAAGAGUAACGUGGCAACACGGGAACUGAAAUCAUUAGGCCGUUUCUGAGACCCGUAGUGAAGUAUGUUGUUUAAUUUGAUAAUCCGCAAAAAACCUUACCACAAUUUGCAUAACUAUGUUUAAGUAAGUAUAGUUACAAGCGUUGCACGGCUGUCUUCAGUCAAUGUUGUGAAACUUUGGUUAAACCCAUUAAAUUGACGUAAACCCUGAUUUUAUUUAUUAUAGAAUAGUUCGCCGCUAUAUUGGUAAUGAUAUAUGGGAUCAAGACAAGUCAUCAUGGCCUGAAUAUUGUGGGCUAUAGACGUGCUGCAUUUGCCUUAACAAAAAGAUGCAAAAUUGAAAAAUUUAGCUAAUCUUUAAAAAAGGACAAAAUAAGAAUUGUAGUCUGAAAUUCGACUACAUGAAAAAGGAAUUACGAGUAAUCGUGUAUAAGUACGGCACGGUGGAUGUUUAAUCAGUUAGGUACUAACAACUCGUCAAGCACUGAAAGAAGAAUGUGCAAUAAGUUUGGUUUCUAUGCUAAUAAAUUUUAAAUAAAUAUUUUUAAAUAUUAGUUUUAGAGGGCUUCGUAUGUGUGUCUUUGAUUGGUGUUAAGUCGAAAUACGGUUCGUGUAAUGGAAAUUGC